rnacentral:lncRNA from 1 species
CUUGAUGAAGCCAAAUACAAGCAACGAAUUACUCAUGCACCUAGCUAUGUCCCUGGAAGUUGUAAGCUCGAUCUUAGUCUGAGAUGACGAUAUGGUAUAAAAACCCAUCCAUUAUAUAAGUCAGGUCCUUCAUGGUGGAGAAAUAAGAUACUCUCAGAUCAAGAAGGUCAUCUAUGCGAUCAUCAUUACUGUCCGACAGUUAUGUCCAUAUUUCAAGCCC